rnacentral:rRNA from 1 species
AUUGAACGCUGGCGGCAGGCUUAACACAUGCAAGUCGAGCGAGAGGCGGACGGGUGAGUAAUGUCUGGGAAACUGCCUGAUGGAGGGGGAUAACUACUGGAAACGGUAGCUAAUACCGCAUACCAUCAGAUGUGCCCAGAUGGGCUUAGCUAGUAGGUGGGGUAAGGGCUCACCUAGGCCACGAUCCCUAGCUGGGCUGAGAGGAUGACCAUGCACACUGGAACGGAGACGCGGUCCAGACGCCUACGGGAGGCAGCAGUGGGGAAUAUUGCACAAUGGGGGCAAGCCUGAUGCAGCCAUGCCGCGUGUGGGAAGAAGGCCUUCGGGUUGUAAAGCACUUUCAGCGAGGAGGCGUUACUCGCAGAAGAAGCACCGGCUAACUCCGUGCCAGCCGCCGCGGUAAUUC